CUCUGUCGAUGAUGAUUUAUUAUUACCUACAUUGCUUGAUGUUAAAUCAGAUGAGAACACAACAUUUUUCUGAGACAGAA